rnacentral:lncRNA from 1 species
UCCAGAGGAGACAGUGUCAGGAGGGGCUGGUCACAGAGACCUGCCCUGUGCAGGGCUCUAAUCUAGCACUGGAGAUUCAAGGGCAGACAACCCUGCCUGCUCCCCAGGGUCCAGUGUACCCUGGAGAUCCCCGCAACGGGGAUGGUGCUGAGUAGCCAGUCCUCAAGCCUCAAGAUUCCCAGAAAUCUGCUCCUUUGGAACCUCCCCUUGGCUCCAUCUCAGCCCCUUGAACCCUGACCCCAGUCAUCAACUCCACUGCCCUGUGGGGUCCUCAA